AGUCGAACGGACUCAUAUUGAAACCUAGUGAUUUAUGAGUUAGUGGCGGUACGGGUGAGUAACGCGUGGAAAACCUGCCGUAUACCGGGGGAUAACACUUAGAAAUAGGUGCUAAUACCGCAUAAGCGCACAGCUUCGCAUGAAGCAGUGUGAAAAACUCCGGUGGUAUACGAUGGUUCCGCGUCUGAUUAGCUAGUUGGCGGGGUAACGGCCCACCAAGGCAGCGAUCAGUAGCCGGCCUGAGAGGGUGAACGGCCACAUUGGGACUGAGACACGGCCCAAACUCCUACGGGAGGCAGCAGUGGGGAAUAUUGCACAAUGGGGGAAACCCUGAUGCAGCGACGCCGCGUGAGUGAAGAAGUAUUUCGGUACGUAAAGCUCUAUCAGCAGGGAAGAAAAUGACGGUACCUGACUAAGAAGCCCCGGCUAACUACGUGCCAGCAGCCGCGGUAAUACGUAGGGGGCAAGCGUUAUCCGGAUUUAUUGGGUUUAAAGGGUGCGUAGGCGGCAUUAUAAGUUAGUGGUAAAAUAUUGGGGCUUCACCUCACUACGCCAUUAAUACUGUAGAGCUAGAGAACAGACGAGGUAGGCGGAAUAAGUUAAGUAGCGGUGAAAUGCAUAGAUAUAACUUAGAACACCGAUAGCGAAGGCAGCUUACCAGACUGAGUCUGACGCUGAUGCACGAGAGCAUGGGUAGCGA
rnacentral:rRNA from 1 species